GCCAAGGAACUGCAUUGGGAUGAGAUUUGCUCUGGUGGUGAUGAAACUGGCAGUGGUGGAGAUCCUGCAGCGGUACAGCUUCUCUGUGUGUAAAGAGACUGAGAUCCCAUUUGAGAUGGAUGUCCAGGGUUUGCUAGCACCCAAAAGACCCAUCCAACUGAAGCUGAUCCCUCGCUCCUAAUCUUCCAGCUGAAGAAUUAWAUCUAAUUCAAAUUGUGAUGUUUAUUUUGUGAAUCUUAUUUUUCUUUCUCACAAAUUAAUUUUUUGUAUAAUGAUACAUCUUGCACAGCGCUUAUAAUCCAACUUGUAUAGUGCUUCUUAGAGUACGCAAAGAAGAUUAAAUGAAUGAGCUUUA